rnacentral:tRNA from 1 species
UAGUAAUUAGUUUAAAUUAAAACAAGUGAUUUCGACUCACUAAAUUAUGAGUUAUCAUAAUUACUAA